AACGAACGCUGGCGGCAUGCCUAACACAUGCAAGUCGAACGGUAACGCGGGGCAACCUGGCGACGAGUGGCGAACGGGUGAGUAAUGCAUCGGAACGUGCCCGGUAGUGGGGGAUAACUGCUCGAAAGAGCAGCUAAUACCGCAUACGACCUGAGGGUGAAAGGGGGGGAUCGCAAGACCUCUCGCUAUUGGAGCGGCCGAUGUCGGAUUAGCUAGUUGGUGGGGUAAGGGCCCACCAAGGCGACGAUCCGUAGCUGGUCUGAGAGGACGACCAGCCGCACUGGGACUGAGACACGGCCCAGACUCCUACGGGAGGCAGCAGUGGGGAAUUUUGGACAAUGGACGCAAGUCUGAUCCAGCCAUGCCGCGUGCGGGAAGAAGGCCUUCGGGUUGUAAACCGCUUUUGUCAGAGAAGAAAUCUUCUGGGUUAAUACCUCGGGAGGAUGACGGUAUCUGAAGAAUAAGCACCGGCUAACUACGUGCCAGCCGCCGCCGUAAUAC
rnacentral:rRNA from 1 species